rnacentral:lncRNA from 1 species
UUUUUUUCUCAACUUAAGGUUGUUCUCAUCUUGUUUCAGAAAAGGGGUCAGCAGGUGAUGUGGAUUUAAGUGUGGAUCCCUAAGUGUGACUGGUCCGAAGCUGCUCGUGAACCAGUGGCAUCUCACCCAGAUCAAGUGUCUGAGGAAAUAGAAGGCAUUAACCACAGGAAGUUGUCGUUUUUGAAAACUGAUAUGGAUCAGAAUUAAACUAUGUCUCAGGUUGACUGUACAGGGUAUUUGUAGUGGGAUUCUGUAUGUGUGGCUGGCUCUGGGAUCUUUCCUCUGCCUUGAAUUGUCUUGUGCUUUUAUUCAGCUGGAAGAUUUAUUUUGCUGAACAAUUUGCUAACACACUACUCACAUUUCAAAGGAACUGUUGGUACCUUUUCAAUAUAGUGUUUACAUUAACAUAGAAAAACAUAGGUUGACGACAAGAACAUUACACGAUGCUACUUAGGAGGAUGACUUUGUUGGCAGUUUCUCCUUCAGAAUUUUUUUUUUUUUAAUUUUAAAGCUUUGCCUUGUCUGUCUAGUUAAAAAUUUAUUAUUCUGUUUGAAUUUGGAAGUAUGCUAAUAUGACACAAAAUUUGAAUAAAGUUUAUCCUUUAAA